GAUGAACGCUGGCGGUGUGCCUAAUACAUGCAAGUCGAGCGAACAGACGAGGAGCUUACUCCUCUGACGUUAGCGGCGGACGGGUGAGUAACACGUGGAUAACCUACCUAUAAGACUGGGAUAACUUCGGGAAACCGGAGCUAAUACCGGAUAACAUGUUGAACCGCAUGGUUCAACAGUGAAAGACGGUCUUGCUGUCACUUAUAGAUGGAUCCGCGUCGCAUUAGCUAGUUGGUAAGGUAACGGCUUACCAAGGCAACGAUGCGUAGCCGACCUGAGAGGGUGAUCGGCCACACUGGAACUGAGACACGGUCCAGAAUCCUACGGGAGGCAGCAGUAGGGAAUCUUCAGCAAUGGGCGAAAGCCUGACGGAGCAACGCCGCGUGAGUGAAGAAGGUCUUCGGAUCGUAAAACUCUGUUAUUAGGGAAGAACAAAUGUGUAAGUAACUAUGCACGUCUUGACGGUACCUAAUCAGAAAGCCACGGCUAACUACGUG
rnacentral:rRNA from 1 species